ensembl:lncRNA
AUUUCCUUCUCCAGCUCAUUUACAGAGGAGGAAACUGAGGCAAACAGAUUUGUGUGAUUUGCCAGAGUUGAUGAAUCAUCUUGACUCUAGGCUCAGUACUCUUACCCAUUGCACCAUCUAGCUGUCCUGUCACAUUUAAAAGUUUGAGAGAUAUAAUUUUUGGGUAAUUAGUUAUUUUACUAAUAAGGCUAGCACUUUAAUAAAAGAAGUCCAUAGCACUCUCAGUGCCAAAGACCUUUAUAAUGGUGGGCUCACAGCCUAAAUGUGAGUAUUCCAGAGGGUGGCAAUCAACUCUGAUUGGCUAUCAAGUAAUGAGACAGAAUGAAUAUUGCAGUGAGAGGCUGGAUUCCUUCUAAUGAACUUUGAUUAUGUCAUUGAUAUUUCUCAGAUUUUGAGACUGGGUGAUUGGGAAAAUAAUGGUGUCAUCACUAGAAAUAGAAGAUUCAGAAGAAAUAUGUCAUGAAUGGCAACUGACAGCUUUUUUUAGGCCUUCUGGAAUCUAAAGGAAAUUCAAGUUUUUAUAGUGAAUAGAUGAAGGAAAAGACCUCAAUCUCUUGGCAGGGGACUCUGAAGGAGCCAGGACACUGCCAUGUAUGGGAGAGACAGAAGCCUAGAACCCCUCUUCUGGUGAAUUGACACCAGGGAAAAUUUACUGGAAGCACAGAGUGAGUUUCAGGAUCCCACCUUUGCCUUCAGUGCCCUUCCAUAUAAACAUUUUCCAAUCAGAUCCAGAAGCAUCAAGAGAGGGGAGUAGAUUCAGUUAUAUACCAUGCAGUCUGGGGAAAGCAGGCCAAUAGACCAGGCCAGAAAGUGUGCUCCCACACACUGAAGUCUUCCGACAAAACUCUAGUUGUCCUAGUUACAGCACUGGCAAACAGGCUCUUCCAUAACAGGCUGCUGAUUAACCUAAUGUACCUCUGCCUAUUAACACAUAGAAAUUUAGAGCCAAAAAAGGUUACCUAGUCCAACAAAUGAGGUUUUGAGAGAGAAAAUGAUGUGCCCAGAGUAAUUCAUUAAAUGGCCAGCAAACAUUUACGAAGCACUGUGAUAGGCUCGUUGGAGCAUUAAAAAACAGAUGACAAAAUCUUCCCUGAGGAAGUUUCUAGUUUUAUAGACAAGAUAAGACACCUACAAAAAGAAUUAUAAUAGGCAAUACUAAAUGAUAAGUCAGAAAAAAACAAAACAAAAUGCACUGUGUUUACACUGGACAUAAAGGAACAAGAAAUGUAUAAAGGAAUAGGUGGCAUUUGAUCUGGGCCUUGAGGGUUGGGAUAGGAUUUCAGCAAUUGGAAAUGGAAAGAAAAACUUUUCAGGAUAGAAUUCUGUAAGUAAAGGUCAAAAAACCUUAAAGAGUUUGAAGAGUGUGAAUACUUGUUGGCUAGUAUGUAGGGCAGCUGUAAUAUAUGAGAUGAACCUAGAAAAAUAAAUUGGGUCUAGAACAUGGAUGUCUGAAUAAGGAAAAUACCCACACCUAUAUGUGAGUAACAUUAAUUUAGCAAUAUAUGUGGAAUUUAAACCUGGAGAAAUGAUUGGCGAUGGGGACAUCAAUUAGGAGAUUAUUACAAUAGUGUAGGUGAGAAGUGAGGAGAAACUGAAUGAAUUAGGGUGGUAGGGAGCACUGGGGUAGUGAGGUAGCAUAGUACAUAAAAGUCCUCUAUCUGGAGUCAGGAAAACCCGAGUUCAAUCCAGCCUCAGACAUUUAAUAGCUUUAUGGCUGUGGGUAAAUCAAACAAACAACUUCUGAUUGCCUCAGUUUCAUCAUCUGCAAAAUGGGGAUAAUGGUAAUACCUACUUUGCAGGGUUGUUGUAAAUAUUAAAUAAGGUAAUAAUAGAGUACUAAGUACAAUCCCUAGCACAUAGUAAAUGCUAUAUAAAUGUUAGCUAUUAAUAUCAAUAGAUUCAAGAUCCAUUGAAAAGGUAGACUUAAAGUAACUUCAGAACUUCAGGUAUAAGGAAUGAAAGAGAGGAAGAAAAAAUCAAAUAUGAUGGAGGUUUUUAGCCUAGUAUACAUAUUCUUUGGCAAUAAAUUUUGAAUAUGGGCCCAAAGAUAGAAAGGGUCAGAACUAGCAGUAAUGGCUGAAAGGUGCAGAAUAAUUUUAGUUCAAUAUAAAAAGAUACUUCCUAACAAUUAUGGCUGUCCCAAAGUGGAAUGAGAUGCCUUGGGAGAUGGUCAGCUCUGCUUCAGUGGAUGCUUUUAAGUCCUUGUCAGAUAUUUCUGCUCAGGUUUAUUAUAGUGGAUGAGAUGUCCUCCAUGGUUCUGCAGUAUAUAGCAGAGGGUUACACCCAAAACAUAGGCACUCUGUUGUGGUGAUUUGGUUUUGAGCUGCAGAAAUAUCCAGGUGGGAUGAGAGAGUCCAUAAUAUCCUCUCUAAGUCUAUCAUCUUCUGGACAGUGGGUACUUCAACUCUGAUUCAUGAAAAGUCUAGUGAUUCUGAUUUAUUCUCAUAUCCUUCAACUCCCAACCUAUGAAAUCCUGCAGAUUACAUUUGUUAGGCAAAUGGCAUGGGCUCAGGAAGCAUAAACAGAAACAUAGUUCAAUGAUCAAUCUGUGGUACAUUAUUAAUCAGCUUUCAAACGAUGAGAGUAUAUGAACCCUAAAACUAUGCAUGUGGCCAUGCACAUGCAUGCACAUGCACAUGCACACAUGGAAAAGCCCCAGCAUAGCCCUCAUAUAAUACUUCUUUAAUUUCUUCUUGGCUCCAAGGAGUAAAUGAGCCUACUCUUAAGUUUUACAGCCUUUGACACGUCUCAAAUGAUCCAGCCAACUGUGAACUUUACAAGUUGCAAAUGCAGAAUCUCAAUGAAAUCCAACUUUGCCCUAGAAUAACAGUAAGACCUUUAUGGAGCACAGCAGUAAGGUCCAAUUCUUAAGACUUCACUAGGGCUAUAGUUAGCACCAGAAAACACCCAAUAAAAGCCAACCAAGGACAUGAGACAAUAUGUUCUGUUGACAUAACUCCUUGAUAUGGUAAUUCAGUCCAACCUUUAUACAAAAUGAGAGCCUUCUUUUUCUUCUUGAAAAGUAACAAGGAA